rnacentral:miRNA from 1 species
GCAAUCCGUUUCGAUACUGACUGU